UACGAAGGGUGCAAGCGUUACUCGGAAUUACUGGGCGUAAAGCGUGCGUAGGUGGUGGUUUAAGUCUGAUGUGAAAGCCCUGGGCUCAACCUGGGAAUGGCAUUGGAAACUGGAUCACUCGAGUGCGGUAGAGGAUGGCGGAAUUCCCGGUGUAGCAGUGAAAUGCGUAGAGAUCGGGAGGAACAUCCGUGGCGAAGGCGGCCAUCUGGACCAGCACUGACACUGAGGCACGAAAGCGUGGGGAGCAAAC
rnacentral:rRNA from 1 species